AGUGGUGGAAGACAUGGGAUGUGUUUUUGAUGAGGAUUUCAGGAGUUGAAACAUAAGUGAAAUAGUAUCCUACAAAAGGCUUUGAACUAUUGAUAAAUUAAUUCAAGAUCUUACCAGUUUAUAAGGCAGUCAUAUAAAGAGAUACAAAUUUUGGUAUUUUUAUAAGACAAUAAUUUUAUUUCAGUUUGAGUCUUCAUGGGAAACCUGACACAUGGGGGGAAAUGUCUUUUGAUAACUUUAAUUUUUGUUAGUUUGAAGGCAUGCAUAAGAAUGAAGCCAUAAGCCAACAGCUUCAUGUUUUACGGAAGGAAGUGAAGCAGUUGCAAGCAGAAGCUGCUAAACCACCAUCACUUAAUAUUGUGGAAGCUGCUGUACAUGCAGAAAACUUGAUCACGGCCUUAGUGAAUGCCUACAAGUUGCAGCCUACACCUGGGAUUCAGAAAGUUGGCAU
rnacentral:lncRNA from 1 species